rnacentral:rRNA from 1 species
UACGAAGGGGGCUAGCGUUGCUCGGAAUCACUGGGCGUAAAGCGCACGUAGGCGGACUCUUAAGUCGGUGGUGAAAUCCUGGAGCUCAACCUCAGAAUUGCCUCCGAUACUGGCAGUCUCGAGUGCGGGAGAGGUGAGUGGAAUUCCCAGUGUAGAGGUGAAAUUCGUAGAUAUUGGGAAGAACACCAGUGGCGAAGGCGGCUCACUGGCCCGUAACUGACGCUGAGGUGCGAAAGCGUGGGGAGCAAACAGG